GUGUGUUUGGUCGACAUCUUCACAGGAGCAAAAAGGGGUUCUUCCAAGUGAACCCUAAACUCACAAAUUGGAUCAAAAUCAAGGGAAAUCAAGCCAAGAUUUUGGGGCUUUAACUAAAUUCGUGAUCACCAAGCUUAGGAGAUCACAAGUUGACUCUAAACAAGCUAGGUGGGAGCUUGGAAAGGAACGGGUUAAACGGAUCAUGGAUGCGAAGAAUGUUUGCGCGGACGCGAGGGUAAAACGGCUUAUGGAAUUUACGUGGCUAUGAAUCAGCAAAUUAUUAAGGCAAGGUAUUAAAACGGGUCAAUACUUUGACCCGAGCCAGGUGAAUGUCGAGAGUCCCGGAUGAAGAUCAAGCGUCGAGCAAGAACCGAACACAUGUUAAGCGAAGCUUCCGCAAUGUUGUUUCGUCGUUAUUAUAAAACGAUGAAUUAAAUUACACUAUGUUGUUUGCUUACAAAUUCAGAAAAGUUUUAAUAAACCCGUAUUUUAGCAUGAAUGUUUAAAUAUAAAUACUCAGUAAUUUGUGAUUAUUUACGGAAAUCGCUAAAUAAAUUUAUGGUUG